GGAUUAUGGGUCAGUGGUAGAGUGCUUGCCUAGCACACAUGAGGUAUUGGGUUUGAUUCCCAGCACCA
rnacentral:tRNA from 1 species